rnacentral:rRNA from 1 species
GGAUAAUCUACCUUUGGAUCUGGGAUAACAUUGCGAAAGCGGUGCUAAUACCGGAUAAUAUCGUAAUAUCUGCGGAUAUAGCGAUGAAAGGCAGCCAAUCCUUGGAAGCAGUUGUCUGAAGAUGAGUCCGCGUACCAUUAGCUAGUUGGUGGGGUAAAGGCCUACCAAGGCGACGAUGGUUAGCUGGUCUGAGAGGAUGAUCAGCCACACUGGAACUGACACACGGUCCAGACUCCUACGGGAGGCAGCAGUGAGGAAUUUUGCGCAAUGGGGUAACCCCUGACGCAGCAACGCCGCGUGAGUGAUGAAGGCUUUUGGGUCGUAAAACUCUGUCAAUGGGAAAGAAAUUACAAUAUAUUAAUAGUGUGUUGUAUUGACGGUACCCAUGAAGGAAGCACCGGCUAACUCCGUGCCAGCAGCCGCGGUAAUACGGGGGGUGCAAGCGUUAUUCGGAAUUAUUGGGCGUAAAGGGCGCGCAGGCUGUAUACUAGGUCAGAUGUGAAAGUUCAGGGCUUAACUCUGAAAGUGCAUUUGAAACCAUUAUACUUGAGUAUGGGAGAGGGAAGUGGAAUUCCAGGUGUAGAGGUGAAAUUCGUAGAUAUCUGGAGGAACACCGGUGGCGAAGGCGACUUCCUGGACCAAUACUGACGCUGAGGCGCGAAGGCGUGGGUAGCGAACAGGAUUAGAUACCCUGGUAGUCCACGCAGUAAACGUUGAUCACUAGGUGUAGCGGGUAUUGACCCCUGCUGUGCCGGAGCAAACGCAUUAAGUGAUCCGCCUGGGGAGUACGAUCGCAAGAUUAAAACUCAAAGGAAUUGACGGGGGCCCGCACAAGCGGUGGAGCAUGUGGUUUAAUUCGACGCAACGCGAAGAACCUUACCUGGAUUUGACAUCUUGGGAAUACCUUAGAAAUUUGGUAGUGCCUUUCGGGGAGCCCAAAGACAGGUGCUGCAUGGCUGUCGUCAGCUCGUGCCGUGAGAUGUUGGGUUAAGUCCCGCAACGAGCGCAACCCUUAUCUUUAGUUACCAUCAUUUAGUUGGGGACUCUAGAGAUACUGCCCCGGUUAACGGGGAGGAAGGUGGGGAUGACGUCAAGUCCUCAUGGCCUUUAUAUCCAGGGCUACACACGUGCUACAAUGGUAUGUACAAAGAGUUGCUAAGCCGCGAGGUCAAGCUAAUCUCAUAAAGCAUAUCUUAGUUCGGAUUGGAGUCUGCAACUCGACUCCAUGAAGUUGGAAUCGCUAGUAAUCGUAGAUCAGCAUGCUACGGUGAAUACGUUCCCGGGCCUUGUACACACCGCCCGUCACACCAUGAGAGUUGACUGUACCAGAAGUUGUUGAGGUAACCUUCGGGAGCCAGGCACCUAAGGUAUGGUUGAUAAUUGGGGUGAAGUCGUAACAAGGUA